rnacentral:tRNA from 1 species
GGGCCCGUAGCUCAGUUGGUUAGAGCAGUCGACUCAUAAUCGAUCGGUCGGGGGUUCAAGUCCCCCCGGGCCCACCG